UCAUUACGAUUAGAUCGUUACUUUUAUACGAAGAGUGAAUGAUUUGUUAAGAUUUGACAGUUAUUUGCGAUUGUCUUCGAAUUGUGUAAAGUUUUAUGUUCAUGGCUUAUGUCAAAAUCUUACGAUGGGUCUUGAGUCACCUUUGAUCGUAAAACGGACAAAUUGUGGAUGUCCAAAAUUCCAAAAUAAUAAUUUAUAUUUUAUUAAAUAUCUAAAAUUAAUAUUUUUUUCCAUUCUAAAUCUCUCAAUUCAGUCUCCCCGUCCACAGUUAGCAUUUUUAGGACGAAACUUUGCGAAGUGUUUUGUUUGUAAACAAUGAACUCUGUUAAAAAGAGUAAUAAAUAAUAUAUUCUUUGCAAUCAACCUAUAAAGUCAAAAUAAUGAAGUUAAUUGAGUGCUAUUAAUCGAUUUAUAUAGGAUGCUGAGACUUGGACUCUGAGAGAAAGAUAUUUGGAAUAUGCCCUAUAACUGCAGACUCCAAUAUUGCAAAAAGCACCUGCAAUACAGUGGAAUAACAUAUUGGUGUGCUGAAGAAAAGAUGGCAAAGGCUUUUAGCUGAUAGGACAUUGUACUGAUGACCCUGUUAUCUGGUCAAAUCAUAAAUGUGUGUGUAUUAUCAAAAUAUUUGCAUAGAUUGUGAAAUGCUGAUGAUAUUUGAUUUGGUCUUUGAUAUAUAUAUUUGAUAUAAAAUAAAAGAAUACUUACUU